UACAGAGGUCCCAAGCGUUGUUCGGAUUCAUUGGGCGUAAAGGGUGCGUAGGUGGCGUCGUAAGUCAGGUGUGAAAUCUCGGAGCUUAACUCCGAAACUGCAUUUGAUACUGCGGUGCUUGAGGACUGGAGAGGAGACUGGAAUUUACGGUGUAGCAGUGAAAUGCGUAGAGAUCGUAAGGAAGACCAGUGGCGAAGGCGGGUCUCUGGACAGUUCCUGACACUGAGGCACGAAGGCCAGGGGAGCAAACAGG
rnacentral:rRNA from 1 species